AAGUCGAACGAGUUCUCGUUGAUGAUCGGUGCUUGCACCGAGAUUCAACAUGGAACGAGUGGCGGACGGGUGAGUAACACGUGGGUAACCUGCCCUUAAGUGGGGGAUAACAUUUGGAAACAGAUGCUAAUACCGCAUAGAUCCAAGAACCGCAUGGUUCUUGGCUGAAAGAUGGCGUAAGCUAUCGCUUUUGGAUGGACCCGCGGCGUAUUAGCUAGUUGGUGAGGUGAUGGCUCACCAAGGCGAUGAUACGUAGCCGAACUGAGAGGUUGAUCGGCCACAUUGGGACUGAGACACGGCCCAAACUCCUACGGGAGGCAGCAGUAGGGAAUCUUCCACAAUGGACGCAAGUCUGAUGGAGCAACGCCGCGUGAGUGAAGAAGGCUUUCGGGUCGUAAAACUCUGUUGUUGGAGAAGAAUGGUCGGCAGAGUAACUGUUGUCGGCGUGACGGUAUCCAACCAGAAAGCCACGGCUAACUACGUGCCAGCAGCCGCGGUAAUACGUAGGUGGCAAGCGUUAUCCGGAUUUAUUGGGCGUAAAGCGAGCGCAGGCGGUUUUUUAAGUCUGAUGUGAAAGCCCUCGGCUUAACCGAGGAAGCGCAUCGGAAACUGGGAAACUUGAGUGCAGAAGAGGACAGUGGAACUCCAUGUGUAGCGGUGAAAUGCGUAGAUAUAUGGAAGAACACCAGUGGCGAAGGCGGCUGUCUGGUCUGUAACUGACGCUGAGGCUCGAAAGCAUGGGUAGCGAACAGGAUUAGAUACCCUGGUAGUCCAUGCCGUAAACGAUGAAUGCUAGGUGUUGGAGGGUUUCCGCCCUUCAGUGCCGCAGCUAACGCAUUAAGCAUUC
rnacentral:rRNA from 1 species